rnacentral:lncRNA from 12 species
AUGCCAGGAAACCAUCCAACAAACUCUCAGGACCAAGAGCUGAUGAGAGAUAAACACACUUGGGCCUUUGGGGCUGAGGCUUUGAUGAUAUUGAGGGAAUGGAUUUACCCCUCCUCUAAACAGAACCUCAGUUCCUACUGCAUCAGGAAGACUUCUCUAAAGACUCUGGCCACCCUGUCCUGCCACACUACUGUCUCUACUAACAGAAGAGAGAAGGGAGGUGGUCUAAACGCAGGAGACAUCACUAGAGGCAGCAUGACAUCGCCAAAAGAACAGUCUCUGCAGCUUAUCAGACCAGCUAUGAGAUCCUGAGGGUCUCGAGAUUCAGUCUAUUCUCUGGUCAUGGGAACAGUCAUGCUUAACUUGCAGAACUGCUGGAUGAGAAACCAAAGGAAGGGGGAUGUGGCUGAGCUUGGCAGAGGGAAGGGAAGAGAAAAGUGAAUGGAGAACAGAGGCAAAGCAUGACAUGACCUCAUCUCUCCAGUCCAGAAUUCCUUCCAUUGUUAGGAAUGCUGAAUAAGAAAUGCUUGGCAUGUGAUACAUACUCAAAAUGGUGACUAUUAUGAGGUAAGAUAGGUGUCAGGCCAUGCAGGAUGGGCAUUCCUCAAUGAAGAAGGGUAGAGCAUGAGGAGUGAUUUUGGGGCCAUGGUUUACUGUGUGCACUUUCCUGUGCUGUUUAUAAGACUCCUUGGCAAAAUGUGGAGGUGGUAACUAUUUGGGGUGGGGGGUAGCAUGCUGCCUUUGCCUUCACAUCAGCCUGACCCAGCAAUUUACUUGUUCUCUAACUGGGGAAUAGAUGUCUUCAUUAGGGUGUGCUCUUGGUUUACCAAAUUUUCUUUCUUUAUUUUCUUCUACAAAUCCUUUUAUGAAAAUCACAUCUGGCCAUAGGCAGGGUUGUGAUCUGAGGCAGAGGGCUAGCAUCUUACCAUGCUUGGAAUAGCUAGGAUGAUAACUCCUGGAUUUUCUACUCACAUUUUUCUCUACCAUAUUUUGUGGUAGUAAAACUUUUGAAGUGAUGAACUAUCCCUAAUGCCUAAACUUGGCCUGGCCAUGGAUUGGACCAACACUUGGAGCUGUUGAUGCAUCUGUAGGCUGUCCCUGGGUACCCCUUCCAACUAAUGAACAGUGUUUAUAGGAUAGAGGGAGCAUGGAGACCCCUCUGGAAUAGUCAGUGUCCUCUACUGACUGCUGUGAAGAUCGAAAGUGUACAUGAGUAUGUAUGACCUCUUAAAUAUUAGACCAAAAAAAUCACAUCUUUCAAAGUCUCAGGACAGCCAUGUAUCAGGCCUACCACAGCUACUGUAGAAAAAUCCAGGAUCAAAGCACAGAGGCAGCAGAACACAAGAAUGAAGUGUGUCUAUAAGGACAUACAUCUGUCUUUGUGACCUCUUGAAGAUUGAUUUUUCUCAUCUGUAAGGUGGAAUAAUAAUAGUACCUACCAUAUAGCUUUGUUGUUUAGGAUUAAUGCUUGUGGAGCACCUGGUAUAUUGCCUGAUAAAAAGUAAGGACCCAGUAAAUGAAGUCCUUUGUUAUUUUCUUGUAGUUGUGUUCAUUCACUAGUUAAUAGAGUAGUGUGAUGCACAUGUACCCACAACUAAGGAGUUGUGUGAUUUUCCUCUUUAAGUUGUAUGCUUGUAUAGGGAAAUCUAGGGACUGUAUCUCCCCUUCAUCUUAUCUGCAGUUCCUGGGUACCAGGGGGAUUUAAUCUAUUUUGUUGAAUUACUUACAUCAGGGUGCCUGGAGAUAUGUUUAAAAGAAUGCUGGCAUAGAGCUGGUAUUUAGUAAAUUUUUGUUGAAUGAAUGCAAAUGAAUGAAAACAUCUUUUAAAAAUAUCUUCAAAGAAAAUGAGCUUGAUCCAUAGUAAGCAAAAUAUAGAUGAGCCACAAGGGACUACUUCUCUAUACCAAGCAAUGACAGACUAUAAAAGAGAAAUGAGAGAGCAAACUGAGGGUUUCCAGAGGGGAGGUGGUGGGGGGGAUGGGUGAAAUAGGUGUUUGGGGAUUAAAGAGAUCACUUAUCAUGAUGAGCACUGAGUAAUGUAUAGAAUUAUUUAGUCACUGUAUUGUACUUUUGAAACUAAUAUAACACUGUAUGAUAACUAGACUGGAAUCAAAAUAAAAAGUUAAUUAAAAAAGAGAAUUGAAAGAGA